GAAAUUUGGUAAGAUACAACUUUUUGAGGUCUUAUAUAGAUGAGGGAUGAGCAUCUAUCACAUCAAUAGUUGGGUUCCUAAGAGUAUCUGAUUAAAAAUUUGUUACUCAUACUUUUGUAGGCUUAAACUAUAUUUGUAAACAUCUUCAUAUUCUUAUAUCUGUUGGAUCUAAAUAUCUCUUUUUAUUCUAUAGUUUAGGAGUAUGAUCUUGAUCUCGCACCAGAGCUGGCUGCAAUAGCGGGUCAUGAUAUCUCAUCUGAAAACCGUUUCUAUGGAAAUUGCUGGUGUGCAAAAUGACUUAUGAAGAAUCUGAGCAGAAAACCCGAACUUAAAUCAAUAUCCAGCUCAGACUUGGGUUCUUGAUGUGGCAGCUUGUUGGACUCCAGUUUCUUCUUUAAUUCAUCACAUUCCUAUCUUUCACACGGUUAUUAAUUUCGAGACACUGAAAGACUUGGAAUGGCCACGUGCUCUCUAGCUUACGCAAAGUGGGCAAAAGGUUAUAAUGGGGCUACUAAUGAUUGGAAUGACUACUCACGCUACGCGGAUCCUGAUGGAGUCAAUAUGUCUCAUUAAGAUUUAUUUUGGUAUAAUUAGAUUUGUAAUUUGUAAUUUAUUAUAUUACCAUAUGGCAGUAGUUUUCUACAGGGGUUUAUGGUGACAUAUGUAUGAUUAUGGCUAUGCACUUUAUGGUCCUUAUUCACCUAUUCCAACAAUUUGUCGCGAUGGUUAUGAAUCA